AUGGGAGGCAAACUGAGCAAGAAGAAGAAGGGGUACAAUGUGAAUGAUGAGAAGGCCAAGGACAAAGACAAGAAGGCUGAAGGGGCUGGGACAGAAGAGGAGGGAACCCCAAAGGAGAAUGAGGCCCAGGCUGCUGCCGAGACCCCAGAGGUGAAGGAGGGCAAAGAGGAGAAGCCGGAGAAGGAUGCCCAGGACACCACCACGCCCGAAGACAAUGAAGCGAGAAAGAUGCCGAGGCAGCCAAGAAGAUGCCCCGAAGCAGAGCCUGAGCCGACGAGGGGCCGAGGCAAGCCAGAGCCCCCAAGAUGCUGAGCAGAGCCGCGGCUGCUCAGCCCUCCACUGGCGCGACGCCCCCAAAGCUUCGGAGGCUGAGGCAGCAGAGCCUGCGGCCCCCACCAAGGAUGACAAGAGCAAGGAGGGAGGGGACGCCACAAAGACUGAGGCUCCCGCCGCUCCUGCCGCGCAGGAGACGAAAAGUGACGGGGCCCCAGCUUCAGACUCAAAACCCAGCAGCACUGAGGCUGCCCCAUCCUCCAAGGAGACGCCGGCAGCCACGGAAGCGCCGAGUUCCACGCCCAAGGCUCAGGCCCCCGCAGCCCCCGCAGACGAGGUCAAACCUGCCGAGACCCCGGCAGCUAAUUCCGAUCAAACCGUAGCAGUGAAAGAGUAA
rnacentral:lncRNA from 1 species